rnacentral:rRNA from 1 species
GACGAACGCUGGCGGCGUGCCUAAUACAUGCAAGUAGAACGCUGAAGGAGGAGCUUGCUUCUCUGGAUGAGUUGCGAACGGGUGAGUAACGCGUAGGUAACCUGCCUGGUAGCGGGGGAUAACUAUUGGAAACGAUAGCUAAUACCGCAUAAUAGUAGAUGUUGCAUGACAUUUGCUUAAAAGGUGCAAUUGCAUCACUACCAGAUGGACCUGCGUUGUAUUAGCUAGUUGGUGGGGUAACGGCUCACCAAGGCGACGAUACAUAGCCGACCUGAGAGGGUGAUCGGCCACACUGGGACUGAGACACGGCCCAGACUCCUACGGGAGGCAGCAGUAGGGGAUCUUCGGCAAUGGACGGAAGUCUGACCGAGCAACGCCGCGUGAGUGAAGAAGGUUUUCGGAUCGUAAAGCUCUGUUGUAAGAGAAGAACGAGUGUGAGAGUGGAAAGUUCACACUGUGACGGUAUCUUACCAGAAAGGGACGGCUAACUACGUG